rnacentral:lncRNA from 1 species
GGAAGCUGGCCCGGUGGCAGCUUUGUUGGGACUUCUUUAGGGUCUCUGGCCAGUGUUGGCCCUGUAAAUUUACACAUCAUGGUGGCAACACAAGGCAGGGCUUCUUGCCCAAGCGGGAGCUGGCAAGCAAUAACUCAAUACCUCUCGCCCAUAUUUCCAUAAAAAUAUCUCCCUUUAAAGCCUGGCUAAAAGGUUAUCUAGAUGCGUCAGUAGCUUUGUGCUUGUGGGAAGGGUUUUUCCCAAGGUUUCGGGAUUCCUCUGGCUUUUCAGCCAGUGGCUCAGAAUACAGCAACUCAAAAGUCAGUUAGAGUCUGUGGUAGCCAGAAAGUCUGUGGUAGCCAGAAAGAAGGUUAGGAAGCAGCUUGCAUUGGGACGUAUGGUGGGAUCCCCUUGAUUCUCCUUCUAGUCCCGAUUUUCAUUUAUCCCCAUUGGGGAUCGUCCCUAAGAAAGCCCCAUAUAAUUCCAUCUGAUCCAUAUUUAUCGCACCCCAAAGGCACCUCAGUGAAUGAUGCUAUCCCUCCGGAAUUGUUCCGUGAAAUAUGCAUCUUUGGAUCAGGCAGUUGAGCUUACCAACAAAUUGGAGGAGGUGCCUUGUUGGCAUUAUGCGAUAUUGAAUCGGCUGUUAGGCUGCUGCCGGUUCACCCUCAAGAUUUUAAGUAGUUAGGCUUUAAUUGGAUGGUCCUUAUAUGGAUAAGGCGAUGCCAGUUGGUUGCUCAAUAGGCUGUGCAGCACUUGAGUCCUUUAGCGCCUUUCUGGAUUGAACAUUGCGAGUCAAGACUCGUUUAACUGGGGGUAUCGUUAUGUGGAUUAUUUUACUGGCUGGUUCAUGUGACACCAGCCUCUGCUUAGCUUACUAGAUGCCCCUUUAUUCCCUGAGGAGCUGGGUGUUCUGUUGGCAGUGGAGGACAGUGGCUCCUACUGCCCCUUUUAAUGUAUUUGGGGGCUAGCUGGAUACCGUUGCUCAAACAUCUGCUUGCCUGUGGAAAAGCUGUUUGCCUUGAAGGAUGUUAUUCUUGUAAUACUUCCUCUGAAGCAAGUGUUGCUUUGUCAGAUCCUAUCAUUCCUAGGUCAGUUAAAUUUUGCAUGCAGGGUGGUUGCUCCAGGCUGCCCCUUCCAUUCCUGCUUGGCCAGGUGGUCUCAUGGCCCGGUGUCCCUUCAUCAUCAUGUACAGUGGCCUUGAGCCUGGCAGGGCAAGGCAAUCACAUGUAACCUAACUUUUCUUGAGUUUUCCUCAUUGUAGUGUCAGCGCACAUCUGGACUGAGGAGUUUAGGGACCGUCAGGUCUGUCUUGGUCUGAUAACCAGGCAGUGUGAGAGUCCUGGCAAAACGGUCUUCAUGCUCUGGCAGAGUCUUCGCACUGCUUAAGGUUUAAUAUUGCGUUUCUGCUCACUUUAUUUCAGGAUCAUCUAAUGUUUUUGCUGUGGCUCUAUCCCGUUUUUUCAGUUGGAGAGCUUCAGAUCCUGGGCUCUGGACACCCAGCUAUUUUUCUGGAGCUCCUGUGGCACUUGGCAACAAUUAAUAAUUAUGAGGAAUAGUAGCUUACGUUUCCCCAUCCGCUUUCAGGUCUUAUGAGAAGGCCUGGACUGAUUUCUUAAAAUUUAGCUGGUAGUCCUCGGCCAUUCAGAGGAACCUGCCCCCAUCCUCUGAGCAGGACCUGCAGUAAUUCGCCCACCUGCUGCAGAUAGGAUGCAGUGUUAAAACUAUCAGAAUUCAGUCCGCUGCAAUGUCUGCUAGAGUAAAGCUUUAAUUUUCAGAGACCCUUCUAAAAGUGUGUCAUGCGCAGGGUCUCGGAAGGUUGGAAUAGGCUCUGACCUUCACAGGACAGCAGGCAGGAAGCCGGUCAAUCUUUGACCUAUGCAGUAUCUGCAACAAGUUGAGACUUGUUGGCUGGUUCAAGAUCAAGACGAGACUUAUUUCAGUAUUCCAUUGUAAUUUUGGUGUACUGAGGGUUGGGGAAAUUGUGUUGGAGCCAGCACGGGGCUGAGAGUUUGGAGGCUUAUUGCCUCAGGACUUUUCCUUAUCUGCUUUGGAGCUUGUCAUAAGUGUCUGGAGCUCUAAGUCAGACCUAGUGAGCAGGGUUGCCACCAUCAGGCUUCCAGUCACAGGUGAGGUGGGCCCUUGCCCUGUUAUUGGAUACCGGAAAUAUUUGGCUUUUCGUUCCCCUGGGGGCUGGCUCAAUCCUAGUGCACAGAAAUGGGUUCCGGUUCGACAGGCAUCUAAUUGCUCACGUCGUGCGCCAGUUAUUGCAGCCUGCGGCUUGCCUACCGCUGAACACGCCUCAUUCCUUCCAAAUAGGUGCUGCUGCAAAGGCUGCGCAUUGGGGCCUGUUAGUAGACAGGAUUGUGAAUACGGGUCAUUGGAAGUCUGACGCUGACAAAGGUUAUGUCAGGAAGCAUCGCCAAUGAUGCCUGUGCUGAUGCCUGUCUGUUAUUCCUUUUUUCAUAGGAGCAGCUGUGCGCAUUUGGAUUGUCGGCCACAGCAUCAUGCACUGAGCUGGCAAGCACCCUGACGAGUCUGGACUGGGGGCGCCAUCUCGGCCUUCCUGCCCAUGUUUCUAGCUCCAGUCCGCAUCUGGAUUGUGGGGCACAGCAUCGUUUACUGGGCUGGCAUCAGAGCUAGGCAGUCUGGAAGGGGACUGGGUCUUGGCCUCCCGCAGCAUGUGCAGGUGUUGUGGAUGUCCAGGCGCAGAAUGCAGUGGAGCGAAUUCAUCCCGCUAAUUAAGCAGAGGGUGCUUCGGAUGGCCCCCAUGGCAAUUGUGGUUCAGCGGGGGAGAACGAUGUGGCAACUUAUGAUUGCUUUACUUUGCGCUCCACGAUUCAGAGAGACUUGGGUGAAUUGGUGACCUUAAUACCCACAGUUAAAAUAUUUUGGUCACAAUUGCUGCAAAGGCGCAAUUGGCACGGCAUUUCUCGACCUGAGGCUGCUGAAAGGGCCAGGAAGCGCAUUAAUUCUGCAGUGUGUAAGAAGGUGGCGGAUUUGGGUGGAUUGGUUAUUUCCCGCCCGGAUAUUACCUUCAAGGCUCUGGCCCUUUACCGCAAUGAUGGAGUACAUCUCUCUGUACUGGGGAAUGAUGUUUGGUUGGAUGCGGUAACUGCAAGGUUGAAGGUUGGGUUGGGAUUGUGAGUGGUUGGCGGCGAGCGUAAAGGGCCUCGAUUGGCGGUUAGGCAUUGGUUAUAAAUUGGUGGAGGAGGGGUUAGGAUAGGCUGGGCCUGCCCCUCCAUGGUUGCUGCGGAAAGGGAAUUCCGUUAAAGGAAUCCUGGGGCUUGCCAUCUUUUCGUCCAAUCCCUGGAAUGGGACUAGGGCCGGCAAGCCUUCGGGGAGCAUGCGGAUGAGAAUUGAGGGUCUGUGACCCAGCUCCAUUUCUCUCCGACUUGCUUUCCCCGCACUGUCUUUCGGUGGUGCCCGGAAGUCAGUUCUGUCCCCAGGCGGGGGACAGAUAGUCUUAACCAAUGCCUAAACAACCACUCACGGUUUUGUAUUUAAAUAAAGUUGUGGCCAAAAUUAUGCCAAAAA